GGGCUGGUUGGGCUGUUCCUACUGCCCAGCUGUUUGUGAUGAGCAAAUGAGCUAUGCCAGAGCCUGAUUGGUUGGGCUGGGCACAGCCUGGGGCUUUUCCCAGUGCUUGGGGGAGUGUAGGGGUUUGGCUGUAAUACAGGAGCUGCUGGGAGCAUGGGGCUGCUCCUCAGAUUUGUGUAGGCUCCUUUCCACAGGAUAGGCAGUUUUCAGGUGUCAAGAAAAAACAAGAAAUAUCUUGUCUCCUCUCCAUUACUCCUUACUAUUUAAUCAGCCAAGCUGUUUGGGCACAAACUCCAGAAGGAAAAAUAAUUGGACUCCACAGACAGCAGUAAGAACUCAGAUCCCAGAGCUACUGACAAAUCAAAAGACAUCGUGCUCUUUGCUGAACCUUCUUUGCCCUCUCUCCCACCCAGAGAGCCUGGGAGCCUGCUCUCUGUGGACUUCACUCAGUGCCACAGCGAGAAACUUUGCUCUUUGAUUUCUAAGAGCCCUUUCCUUGUGGCCUGAAGCCAGUGGAAUCAUAUGUUGACACAAGUCUCCAUUGCUUGGGCAGAGUCAGGGUGUAAACAGCACAUAACAUUUGCUCAAAGGUUCAAACUUUUUUUUUAAUAUUCCUGGUACUUUUCAGAAAAUAGGUGAGUAUUGGUACCUCAUUUUUUAAGUACCCUAAGUAUUGAUUCAUCAAGCAACAAAGAUUUUUUUUUUCAUUAAAGCUAUAAUUUUCAUAAAAAUUUAUAUAGAAAAUAGCAUGUCAUUGGUUGGAAAACACAGAAAAAAAACUCUCCAUGUAAAUCCUCAUAAUGUGUCAUUAGUGACAAUCCUAGUAAGUUAUCUCAACCAGAAAAUUAAGGGAUUUUUAACAUGUAAAUACAGAUGCAAAGAAGAAAUCUAGACAUUCAGGUCAGGCUUCCAUAUGAGUAAAUAUAUUCUUUAAUUUAUUAAUGAAGUUCAGAAUCUUGUUAAAUUGUUUACUAAACAGAGCUUCAGUAUCUUUUAUGUCUGUAGCUGAAUGUAUUUUAAAGAGUUAGAAAGUCAAUACAUGAAAGAUUAAAAUCAUGUGAUUCACUUGUCUCUCAGCAGGGUGGCCAAGUCUGCUCCCAUUAAAGCUGUCAUUGCCAUGGUACCUAAAAUACCAACACUCACAGACUGAGGGAAAUGUACACAUGAAGGUCUUUAUCAUUACAUAUGAAUAUGAAAGUAACAAUUGAUAAUCUUGCACAUCAAUGUUCUGCUGCAAACACCCAUCUUCUAAUUUUGUGCACAUUCCAAACUUACUAUUCUAGGAUUUGGAGGAGUUUUUAUCAGUCAGGCUUGCCACUGAUGCAAAUCCAAGGCACCUUCAAACAAAUUGUCACUGUAAUUGUGUUGUGUGCCCACUUCUCUCGAAUCCCAAAGUUUUUCUGCUCAGCUUGAACAACACACUCUGUUGCUGAUAAGGCACUCAGAGGUGGCUGUAUGUUAGAAUAGAAACUUUUUUAAUGCCAGCAUUGUUUUCUUAGAAUAGCAACCUUUCUGGUUGAAAUGUUGCUAGGUUGUUUUUCUUUUUUUCUUUCGCAUAUUGUGUUUUGAUGAGAAGCAUUUCAAUCAUUUUAAAUCAGAAAGAUUAAAAUGUCUUUUUUUUUAGAGUAGAUGAUACAAAACAUAAACAAUUACAGCAUUGAAAUUGAAUUACAUAUAAUUGGCACUCCAGCAGCUCAAGGUCUCCAAUAUAGUUUCAUAACUUUGUCUUACAUCUUUUAUAAAGAAACUGUGCAGAUGGAAGACACUUUACAAGGAAGGCAUUGACAUGAGAGUGAUUCCUUUAUGGUACUUUAUUUUAUGUAAGGAUGUCUGUGAGGGAGGUGUCAGGUGAAUACAGAGUUAUUUAAUAUCUUUUAUCUGUUUAUUCUAGUUGGUAAAUAUGUGUGUGACUUCUACAUAGUGUAUCUAUCUAAUACCUAGGUAUCCAAAUUACUGCACCUUGUGGGAGUGGAGUAUAGUAAAUUUUGACAUUUAACCACAUUAGAGUAAAAUUCAAGCAUGUAUGGAAAAAAAUGCUCUUAGCAAGUGUGUUGUAGCACAAGUGAACAAAACAAUUAACACUGAAGUUAAAUGAUGUGCUACAGCCAUAGACAUACCAGGGGAAAUAUCCAUAGCCAUUCUUUUGAACAGAAGAACCACUGUUUUUCCAAUUUCUCACAGGCCGCUGUGCCUCCACAUCAUCAAUCUUUAUAAGCACAUAAGAGCUGUAAAUUAAUGAACACGUAAUGUGUUUAAGCAGUUCACACAUAAAUUGAUGAACAUGCUGAAGUUUGUGUUUUUGUACCUAGAGCGUCAUCUAGUGGGAAACUGGGAUUAUCCCUUCCCUGUUCAGCUCCAAGUGGAAUGGUUUGUAAAAAGGAAAAUAAUACAGCAGAGAUAGCUAUGAAGGGACAGAGCUUUCUUCAUAAUUAAAUUUUACAUUUUUAUAAAAAAUAAAAGGCAAACUAGACUGUUGGAGUAAAAUUAAAUUCUCGUAGACUUCUGAAAAAUUACCAUAUAUCAAUAUGUCAGAUACAGGCAAGCUUGCAUAGCUCAUAACAAAUCUUUACACAUACAGUUUUAAAGUAUUUAAUUUAUAUUGUAAUAGCUAUAAAGUGGAAAAACUGCUGCUCCUCAAAUUAAAAUCAAAGCUUUAUUCUUGAAAUAAUAACACAAAAGUGAGGAUGUAACAAAUCUAUUUUUAGUAUUUACAGAAAGAACAUUGUUUUGCCUGAGGAAACCUUCAGAAAAAUAAUUUGGUGAGCAUUUCCUACAAAAUCAUGCCUGGACACUCUUUCUUCUCUGACACAGGGACUCAGGCAGGUCAGCUUCUCCAAAGUCAGCUUUGCUUUAAACCUUAAAAAUAAAUAGCUUCCUUAAAGAAAUAACAUUCAGUUUAAACAGUUACAACACAGCAGAAUUACAGAAAUUCAGUAGCCAGUCCAGAUUUGUGCUGUUUUCAGCUGUGAUGCUACUUCAGAUGUCUUGAAGCACAGUUCAUGAUAUCAUUAAUUCAUAAGGAUACACUACUGAAUUGCUGAGUCUAAAUAAAAAUCUCUAUGGGGUGCUACUUUAUUAUAUUUUUCAUACUGAAAAUCGGAAGCCACCUGGACCACUGACUAAACUUUAAAAGGAUUAAAAUACCUGCUGGAAAAUUUGGAAUGGAUUGAAGUCCUGAUGGAGGUUUUUUUGUGUUUUUACAAACUUAACUGGUUCUCUGAGACAUAAUUAUCAAAGUGCCAUACGAAAGGCAAUCUUAGAGGAAGUUUUGACCAGAUAGAAAUGGAUUGGUGUUUGUGUGUGUGAGAUGCCUGACCUGAAAAUACAUUUUUCCAAGUUUCAAUGUUGUUUGCAGAUCCAAGCUCUGUGUGCAAACAUCUUUCUUCUUUACCAGAGACCUCAAGACUUUUUAAGACUGGGGAUGGACUUUAUAGUAGCAGGGCCUGUAGCAAUAGACAAGGGGUAAUGAUUUUAGACUGAAAGAAGCAAGAUUUAGACAGGACAUAAGGAAGAAAUCUUUUAUGAUGAGGAUUACAGAACACUGGAACAGGCUGUCCAGAGAGGGGGCACAUACCCCAUCUCUGGAAACAUUCAAGGCCAGGUUGAAUGGGGCUCUAAGCAACCUGAUCUACUUGAAGAUGCCCUUGCCCUCAGAGGUUGGACUGCAGGACCUGUAAAGGUCCCUUCCAAACCGAACCAUUCUAUGACUGUGAUUCUAUGAUUUGUCACCAUUUUCUUAAUGGGGAUAGGAGAAGGUGUAGUUAAAUUUGAGGCUGGACUGAAAGAUCCAGGACUGAAAGAUCCAUAAUUUCUUGGGACUAGAAAUUGAUGGUUCCUCGCUCUGGAGGACCAUCUUAAAGGAAAUCUGUCUUACUGUAAUGAAGAAGAGGUAUAGAAAAACAUCAGCAAGGGAAGAGGUAGCAAGAGAAACAGAAACACAAAGGAAAAGUCUGAUAAAUAGAAAAUGUCAUGAAAAUUAAUAGACAGAGAGAAAAAGGAGACUGUACAAUGGGAGAAAACAGGGACUGAGAAAAGUUCAAAGAAAAUACUAGCUUAACCUCAGUAACCCACUCACACUGUAAGGGCAGAGAAUCUCAUUUAACAUUUCUUAGGUUUCAGAAUUCAUUGUACACUGAAAGAAUACUUGAUAAAUUAUUUAGACAGUUUCAACUGAGAUUGGAAAAAUCCCAGCCUGUCAGAAGCUAGGUUAAAAAAGGUUGAUGCUGUAUAAAUAAUUUACUUCUUUGGGGAGGAAAAAACAUACAAAUGCUGUGUCUAGAGUAGAGAAGUGCUAAACCUGCUGAAGCUCAGUAGCCAUACAGUGGGUUUAAGCCAGCACUAUAAACUGAGUGCUCUCAUUUAAAAGCAGAGGUUAUGCCAAAUCUAAGUUAUCAAAAGAAUAUCAACAUUAAAGAUUCUACAAUCCAGUUCUUUUGUACAUGUACAUUUUUACCACCAUGAGAAUAGUCCAAUUUAAGAAAAAUAUAUAUAAAAGCCUCUUUUUUCAGUGAUUUCCUCUGGCAACUAAUUUAAGUAAAGCAAACUUAUCACAUCAGUGUUGGGUUUUUCUUAAUUAAUUCGUUUCAUUUCUAUAAAACAGACACCCUCUAGCUUCACCAUAACAAUCCACUGUUCUUAGCAGAUAGUUCCUGUUCUAGUCAGAAUUGCUUAACAUUUCAAGGGAACCAGGUCAUGGGGUUUGUUUAUUUUUACAUGAAGUAAUUAUUACUUAAUUUUUAAUUAUAGUAUUUUUAAGAGAAAUCACCAUGGUAACAGAUGAAAGGAAUUUUUUACAUAUAUAUUCUAUUAUGGUUUUCAUUUCAGUAAGCAGAGGUACAGAAUUUGACAGCAAUGAGCUUCUAUUGCAACAUACGAGCACUGUGUAAUACUCUGAGUAAAGUCAUUUCAGUAAUAUCAGAUGUACAGUGAGCACAGAAGCUGUCCCCACUGCCAGCUUAGCUUUGCUGGCUGUCACAAGUCCCAAAGACACCAUUCCAUAAGGAACUUCUGUCCCCUGUUCCUCACUAAAGUCUACAGAAUCUGAGGAGACUCAGCAGCCCAGGAGGGAUAAGGUCCUAAAUUCUGUCCUUAGUUCUGACCACUACACUCUCCCUCAGACAAAUAAAAAUCAGCCUAUCACUUAAUUCUGUGUAUGCUCAAUGCACUUUGUGUAUUGAAUGAUAUCAAUAAAUGGAAAUAUUGUUCUGGCUGACAUGUAUCAGGGCAUCUCGGAUUUGUGGCUAGCAGAAGAAAAUAAAUACUAUAGAUCUGGAAGGUGAUUGAUGGAUUAAAGCUCUGCAGACAGGAGUUAGCUAGAACAAAAUACCUCAAACUCCUUCAUGUGUGCCAUAUAUAAAACAGGAAUUCCACUUGUCUGCCUCCUACACAGCCCUGCCAGCUCACCAGGCUCAGCCAGGAUAUCUGCCUGUCAAAGCUGCUGUGCAGAGUGUGCCUCGAUACUUGUCAGUAGAAUUAUUGUGUGUUCCCUGUGUGAAGAAGAUGAAUUUAGAUCUUCAAAGUAUUACCUGUGAGAGCACACCAGAGCAGCACACCCCAUAAUUUGGCUGCCCCAUGGGGGAGGCUGGGGGAAGCAGAGUCUUUAUUAUUUCCUGAGAAAUUUACAAGCAUAUGGCCCCCAGAAUGGCAACACCUACAGCAGGCAUGGCCAUGAUCCAGCCAUGUGCAUCCCAUAACCAAAAAUAUAACACACUCUGUCUGUCUUCAGGGCCCUCAGAGUGCUUCUUUAACUAAUUAAUGUAAUUUCCCUCUGUAAUACUGAUGUGAAGAAGAUUCCUUUGUUUUGACCUACAAGCCUCAGUCACCUUUCAGCUCUGAGAGGCUCUAACAUCAUCUUAUGUCUGGGGCUUCAGCCAAGGAGAGUGGCAAAUCCCUGCCCUCCUCAGCCUUUGCCCAGGGACCCCUUGGAUGUUUCACAGGCUUUGGCUUUGGAUGCAAUCAUUAAUGUCUUGAUUCUUGUCAGCUCUGAGGUCUGUGUUCAGUAAAGAUACAUAACUCUCAUCACAAUAGGAUUUGCCUGAAACAUUGGCUUUAAUUUGAUGUCUUUUUUCCACAUUAAAUGUUUUCCUGCAAGAGCUUAAUGAAGAGAUAAUAAAAGACUUGGAAGUUUUCUCUUCCAUUUACAUUGGAUAUUUACAUUUACAAUGGAUAUUUUUACACAGGUAGUGCUCAAAGCAGAGAUAAAUGUUCUAGGUUGUCUAAAAGCACUGUGGAUGAAGAAAAUUACCACCCUCAGAUUUAGCAGCAGAGUAUUUAUAUAUAAGUACAACAACAGUUUGUAAAGUCAUAUGGACUUUGCAGUAGGGAGUAAAGUGGGGAGCAAGAGAGUUUCCCUUUUAGAGCUAUCUUUCAAAAUAAAUGCCAAAUCUGCUGUCUACGAUGGAAUUCUCCCAUUUUCGAAGAGUAAACUCAGCUAGUUCAAAAGUACUGCAAAAUUGAGUUAAUAUUUUGUAUUCCUGAAUAUUUUUUAAAAAGAAAACUUCAGAAAAAUCAAGCAAUUCCUUACUAUUUAUCCCUUUCAAAUAAGGCUUUAUUCUCUGCUUGAUCAAGGGGUUUAUCAAGGUUUUUAUGUAUUUAUUUACUAUUUUCCCAGACUUGUCAAUUUGAGUAUAACAAACGAAUAAAAGUAAACAGCACUAAAUAAUUAUAGUAAAACUGAACAAAAAGAAAUGGAGAAUUAAUGUCCUUGUUAAAUUUGACAUCAUCCUUUGCUUCCAGAAUUAGCUGCCUAUUCAGUGUUUAUUUUCUUCACAUUUAUUUACAUAAAAUAAAUGUAAAGAAAGAAAAAAAUGUAAUUUUUUUUCCUCUCUGCUACCAGAGAGGAAAAAAUAGCUAGUGAGUAAAUAUGGCACAGGAUUUAAAAAGUCUGUUGCAGAGAUAUUCUUUUUCUUAUAUAGACCUCUAGUCACUAUAUGGGAAAAUACUGACAUGGCAAAAGAAACAAAACUCUUAAUGCCCUCUGCCUUUUAUUAACACUAAUGAAGCUGGAGAACAGGCUGCCUGGGGAAGGGGUUUCAAGAGUGCAGAUCCCUACCCCUGAAACAUCCCACUGUACUACUGGGGUUCCUCUGUGAGAAAAAUGAGACUCAGCCACUGAUAUAUGUGCCACUUCGGGUUAAAUUCUCUGUGAAAAAAAAAAAAGUAAUGGCACACAUCAGGUGGGAAGUGUUAUUUUUAAACUGGUACAAUAUAUUAGUACAUGUUCUAAUUGCUUGGUUGUUGGUGUAGGAGGUAAGACGCAGGAAGGAGACGCGAAGGGAUGUUAUGGGGGGGUGUGUGUGUGUGUGUAUGUGUGUGUUUGCGGCCUGUUCCUACAGGGGGGCUCACACAGGGACGGUGUCAGGAAGCAUCAUUUUGUCCAAAGUGAUGUAGCCCAUCACUAACCUGGCACAGCGCUGCCUUCCAGGCAUCCCGCUGGGCUCCGCUCCAGUGCCAAUGCCCGCAGAUGCCAGGGACCGAAAUGGAAACACGGACACCGCAGCUACCACUGCGGUCAUUGGAAGCGUAAUCGCGGGGGCUGGCUUGGGGGAGGAGUAUUUAAGCUGCAUUUUGUUUCUAUUCUUGCAUGGCCGCAUAACAAUUACCCACUCGCACGGGGCUGUCCCCGGCUGCCCGCCGGCCGUGUCGCUCCGCGGGCGCCCGGCCGGGCCCGCCCCGCCUUUGUUCCGCGCCCGUCCCGCACGAGCGGUGCCAGCAUCCCGCUGCCGCUGCCAUGCCGGGAUCUGCUCCCUCUUCCCCGCCGAUCCCAUUUGCAUCUCAAUGCCAGAACUGGGCCGAGGAGCGGGGCUCCAUCUCACUCACGCCGCAGCAAUAAUUGAUUUCAGGCCUGAGUAAGUCUAUUGAGCCCGAUUUUCUCCCGAUUUACACAGGAGAAACCAAGAUCAGUUUGUGACCUCUCUGUAAGAUGGGACAUCAUUAUAAAGUAUUUGUCUCUUGGCAUACAUGAAGAGCCAAGGACGCAGUGCUUUUCUCAUUUCUGUUUCCAUCCAACUAUUACUCACUUCUGUGACAACCUCUUCUACAGAUGCUGGCAAAUGACAAAAAAAAAAAAAAAAAAAAAAAAAAAAAAAGGCAAGAAAAUACAAUGAGAAACAUUUACACUUAUAUAUGCAUAGCUGUAUAAUCACUAAGAAGAAAAAAAAUUUCUUGGCCGAGUAGAAUUAAAGAAAUAUCCACAAAGCUAAAGCUGGUUUUAUUAAGUUCUGUCUUUCUGCUGCCUUCACUCACUUUCUUCUUGUAUUCAUCAUUUCAUUAUUUUACUUUCUCAUAGAGCAGUAAGGUCAAGACAGUGAGCCCAGCUGCUGGCUGCUAGCUGAGACUGAGCCUUUGAGGUGGAGAGUGGGAUCUGGCAUUACUGUAUAUUUUACUGAGGACUUUUUAAGGUACCAAGAUUCUUAGCUAGUAAAUAAAAAGAGAUGAUUCAUGCUUUUCAAGAAUGGACAUUUUCCACACUCCCAGAGGUUCUUGCAAGCUGACUGAAGUAUAAUUCAGAAGGCACUUGUGAAGAAUUGACUUCCUAAAAUCCUUACCAUCCCUGCAGAGGUGCUUUGGUCCAAUUUUAAACAGGUAUUUAGUUCCCUGUUUUUGUUCAGCUUUUAUAUGCUGCUCAUUUUAGUGCAUCUUCCUUUGCAAAUCCCAGAACAGAAAGAAAUGUUGCAACUGCACAAGUCAAAUCUGUUUGAAGAGAAUGUAUUGUAAAAUUAUCUCUGUGUUCUUUUUAUACUAUGAAAGCGCUGACAGCACUUUGAUGUGGAAGGGAUGAGAUACAGUAAUCGGAGGGGCUGCUAUGAAAGGAACGACAUGCUUUAAGAUGGAGCUGUACAGAGAAACACACAGUAAUGACAGCUUCACACAACACCUAAUUUGAUUCUUUCGUUGCACCACAGUGAAUCUUUAAACCACAUCCACCUGCUAAUGAGCAGGGAAGCUUCUGAGCAGAGGUCACCUUUCUCCCACUUUUGUAAAAUUCACUCCACCCCACUUAUAAAACCAUCCAUUAUCACCCUCUCUUCCACAGCAUUUUGUCUUUGGUGAGUUUGCUGCCACAUAGAAAUCAAAUCAAGAAAGGGAAAAAUUAAUGCCUGUUUUUGCAGUUGAAAUUACUUCUAAUUUUUAAGUAGGAAUUACUUCUAUAGAGAGGGAAAUUAUUUACAAAUAUUCCUUAAAAAAGGAGACCUCUUUCCCCAGCCCAAGUAAUUAACAAAUGCAAAGCUGGGAUCCUGCAGUUUCAAGCAGGAGUAACAUUACAUACAUCCUUGCAGAUCAUUGCUGAACCAGCAGUGACUUGUUGUGUGGGAUCACAUUUUGGUAUUGCCAGCUCAGGUUGGGAAAGGUUGACUAAAAUUGGUGAAAACUAGAAAUUUCAAGAGCAAAAUUAUUUUCUCUACAGAGAAAUGUCAUACUCACUCAUACACCUAUUGAAGGUUGAUAUUUGUUUGGCUCAAAGCUAAAAAGAGCAAACUUCCAGAUUUAAGGCAAACAUUGAAUUUUGAAUGCUAGAAAAUAAAUGCCUCAAAUUAUUUUUAUGUUUAUGAAUGUUAGAUAGUGAAAUAUUUCCUAAAGCUCAGAUUAUUAACCAGAACAAAAGAAAUCUACUGCAUUGCAAAUAAUGAUGCCCUGAAUGCCUAGUGAAAGGCCAUGCUGAUUAGCUGUACCACAAUUUCCCUGUGUUGAUAUUAAACACAAAACACAAGGGACUCACCCCAAAGUGUCUGCCACUAUCACAAGGCACCUAAAAACUAUUUAUUUGAUUUUCCCAGAGGACAGUUUAUUCUCCCACUUCUGAAGUGCCUGCUGUGAUUCUAACAGACUGGAAAAACUAGACACAUUUGUGUCAAAGCUAUGAAGAUCCAUAAAAUGGUUAUUAAGAGAGUAGAUCUUUAUCUACAUUUAUUUGAGAGGCCAGUAUAGCCUUUAAAAUAUUACUACAUGGAUGCAUUUGACAGAUAAAUUACAGCACAUUUCUUUUAUUAUUAAUAAUUAGUUCCUAAUUAGUUGCAAUUCUAAUAUAAGGAGGAAUAAUUAUGUUUCUAAACUCAGUGAGCUAAAGAAUGGACACAGUCUGUGACCCAAAAGGAGUUUAUAAUUUCCAUGUAAAAAUAUUUAGUGAAUAUGUAAUGAAGCUGUGGGAGGCUGCAGGAUCUGGACAUCUCCUAUGGAGAGAACAAAGCCUCAUGUCACAGCGUUAAGCUUCAUGCUGCUGCUCUCCUGCAACCAAAGGGAACACUUUUAUUCUUUGGAACUUGGGGGUACCUAGGAAUGCUAUGAUCUAUUUCUUCUGUGUGUUUUAUAGUACUUCCUUUUUCUCAUACUCAUCUUCAUUCAGGCAAAUCUGUGCAACUCAGAAACAACCACAUCUGACCGGACCGGCUGCCCGCUGGAUCUGAGCAUUAUCUUGUUACUGCACUCCUGCUCUGGCACAGAUCUCAUCACAACACAAGGCUCUCACACUUACUUACCAGUCUGAAAAGCUCUGCAUAUUGAAGAGUUCAAAGUGCUGGCUUCCACCCCUAAAUCUCUCAGGGGCCUAGGACCUGGCUGAAAAGGGUCUGUAGAGAUAUACCAGAGAAAAUGAGAUCACUCUGCUAAAGAGAGAUAUUAGCAGGCUUUUUUGGGGAGACCAUGCCUACUAGUUAAACUUCUGUUGUAGGUUCAGUCCUGAGGUGUUCCUGUGACAGCUUACUGAAAGUUAUUUAAAGCAAAUAUAUGCUCUUAUGUGGGGUUUUUAUUUCAUUUAUGAGCUUCAACUUCUGGUGAACCCAUGCAAUGAGAUGGAGAGAAAGACAACAAAUUACCCAAAAUUCUGUUUGUAGUAGGUGUUUUUCAGGGUCAGAAAAAGUAGUGAUGACUGUUGACACUUAAAAAAUGUUUAAAAAAAUUAUCACUUCAGGUUAUCAUUAAAACCUGCCUCUCUGAGUUUUAGAGGCUAUUUCUGAUUAUUUUUGCAUAUAUUUCAUGUAUUUUAGCAAAAUACCUAAUAGGCUUGGUGUUUGUAUUUUUAUGACUGCUGUAACUAAAGCUGUUCCUUGUUUAUUCUCUCUUUGUUCUUGUUCACUUCAUGCUAUCUUUCUUCUCUGUUUAUCUACACACAAACAAACAAACAGUGCUUCCUGCUGCCUCCCAGACCACUGCCAGCUGUCCUGAUGUCAACUGGCAAAGGACAAAAGCAGCCCUGCCAUAAGGACCUUUGCUGAGAAGUGAUCUCUGCAGCCUCCUCCCUUUCUUCAGAGCGCCAGCAAAGAUAGCACAGCUCUCCAAACUGGAACCAUUAGAGGAAUUAAGUCAUUUGGUUAACUUUCCAUUAUUGGGCAUAAAACAAGAAAACCAAAACAAACACUCUUUUGACUGUUCUUCAAACCAACACCUCUGGUUGCAAUGCUGGGCAGAAUUUCUAUGUUCAGAGAAUUAAUAUACUGAUGAAUGGUUGACUUAAUUUUCUAAAAUUGUCCCUUCCUGAAAAAAAAAGCUCUUGGGGGCACUGUUUUGUUACAAAAAUAAGGGAAAAAAGCUGAGAAGAUUAAGAUGCUUCUGUUCUCAGAAUUGAGCUUCCCACAAUGAUACACAGUGACACUAUUGAGAAUAGCACAUAAGUGACAGAACUACUGUUGGUAAAUUUUGAUGCUAUGAAAAACUCCUCAGUGUCAAAAUUAAUCACAGUAUCAAAAUAAAUCAAGGUAAUUCAUAACUGCAGCUGAGAAGCAGUAUAACAGUAUAUUAGGGAACCUUCAAAAGGAUUUCCAGAAAUAACAGUUCAUUAAAGCUGUAGGUAAUGAAGGAGGUGGGGAAAAAGUCCAUAUUGUUGAUAAGAACUCACACGGUGGAAAACAACAAAAGCUAUUGGAUUAGGUAGAUAAAAAUAAGAAAACAUCUUAAUUCCUAGAGAAUCUGUGUCUAAAGGAAGAAAUUCUAAAACUAAUUAACAAAACCCUAUCUUUCAUAAUAAUUCUCAUAAAAGCAGCUUCCCUAUGGUCCAAUGCUUGAAAAAAAAAAAAAAAAACCACAACAAAAUCCCAAACCCUCUAAUCCUUACUAAAAUACACUAGCAGGAACAUACACGCACACACACAAAGAAAGGGUUCAUAUCCAAAAAAACAAAAAACAGAUUACUUUCAAAGAUUAAGAUUAUAUCAAAUGAUAUUUCUUAAUUUGCUUCUCUAGAGUAAACCCAGUUUAAAGCUAAAACAUCCGAGUAACAGUUAGGGAACAUCUUUUGUAAGUUCGUGUCACUUGAUGCUUCUUGACCUGUGGUCUGUUUUAGGACUACUGAGUUCUGAAUAUACUUGAUCAGGUGGGUAUUUGUGCUUCUUUUCAGCUCAGUCGAUUGAGGAGGCUGCCUGUCCUUGCUUUAACCUACUUUCCCUGCUAAAGUCAUUUUGCCUCAUAAGCCCCAUGGAGAUUUGAGAGGCAAAGCCAAUUUAUUCCUACAGUGGUCCCACUUUGUUCAGAAAUAUUGCCAAAGGCUCAUUUGGAAACCCUUCUCACAGGAAAUAGGAACAUUUGGUACUUUGCAAAAACCGUAAGGACUCAACUCAAAAUAGAAAGGUACAGUUAGCAACCGUAAGAGGAGUGUACUGCUUCUCUUCAAAUAUAACAUCUGAGGAAAAAGCCCAUUAAAAAUGAACAAAAAUAAUUAAUGUUCACAUGGGGUGAUUCUAAGCAUUAACUAUUGACUAACUGUUUGACAUUUAUUAUUUAUAAUGUAAUAUAUUCUGUUUCUGAUGUGGAGUUUACCACACAUUCUGUAGCAGAGUUAAAGAAAAAUACUAGUUUUGUGUGUAGUUUUCAUGUUGCAGUUUAUGUCUUAAAAUUUAGAAGUCUUUUCGUCAUGAUGAAAAAGGAUGGAACAGUCACAAUUACAAAUUCCGAAAAAAAAAUCUCAAUUUUUUUCUUUAAUUUGUAAAAAAUCCAAGUAUAUGUUGCUAUGCUGGGAUACCUCCUAUGCAGCAAGACACAGAGGUGACAGAUGGAGGGUGCCACCUGUAUCCAGACAGGGAUGGAUAUUACUGGCACUACUCAAGAUCCCUUUGUAGCUUCACAAGGGACUACUGUCAUUGCUUUAUGUGAUCCCCCCAGUGAAGAUAAAAUCUGUCUGUCCAGAAGGAAUCCUGAGAAGAAGGCCAUUUUUUGACAGUGCUCAGCUGCACUCAUGGUGUCCCCAGAAGUUUUGUGAAGUGAAUACUUCACCACAAUUAGGACAACAAAGACAUAUAAACAUUCCAGUAAUGGGAUGGCUGAAUUUCCUACCCUGGGUAGCUGAGAGGAACCAUGCAUGGCCAUGGUGGUACAGGGAGGAAACAGUGCUUGGGAUUAGAAUUUACCCUUAAAAUAAAAAAAAUAAUAAAUCUCUUCGUUGAGUGCAGUGGGUCUUCAGAUCACCCAUCAUACAGUCUGUUUCUCUUUAGACCAUACAGCAAAUCUGUUCUAGUAUUUCUAUGAAUAGUUUGUUUCUUUAUUUAUUUAUAUAUUACUGGUAGGUGUUCAUCCAAAUAUUAGUGCAAUCAAUUUUGCUUUACUCCAUUAGCUGUGCCUUGGUGUUUGCAGAUCUUCUGAUCUGCAGACCAUAAUGAUAACUAAAUCAUCAAAUAACAAUAAUCUUGCUCCUCAAGUUGCAGUGUCCCAGCCCUUUGGAGAAAUACAGCCAUAACCCAUAGGAAAAACAGUGUCCAUUUUUAGCACAAGCAACACCAAGAUACAAAUCACAUCACAGGCAGAGUUAAUUAAGUCAGGCACCUACUGUUUGCCUAUAGUUUGAAAAGGCUAUUAACUUGAAGGUCUGCUGUAGUGCUAAGAUGAAAUAAUUAACUGAUGCAUUGUGUGACAUGAUGAACGCAUUCCUAAAGGGGCUUGUUACCGUGACUUUUUUGGGAUAACACAGUGAAAUUUUAGACAAUAUACCACAGCAGUUUAAAGGGGAAAAAAUGCUUACAGGUCUUUCUUAGACAAGUAAGAAAAAGGUCAGGAGCUCUUACCAUUGAUUAUACAGUGUGCAGAACCACACAGCUGUUAAAACUAUCAAAGGAGCAUCAGCACUUUGGCACCUACUUUUGUUAGUUUGAACAAGUAAUUUUGGCAGUUGCUGUGAAUAUUUUUUUUUAAUUUGUAGUAUAUGCAUACAUAGGAAGUCUGCAUUUUGUUUAAAAUAAUAUUGAAUUACAUACAUGGUAUCACUAUCACUACAAAGGAAUUUCUUUUAUCUAUUUAGUGCAACUAUCUUGAUGACUGAAGUAUCUUCUUUUCUCAGUUGACCUCCUAACACUUCCAUUUCACACCAUAAGAAGACUCUUCGAUCCAGGAAAAAAAAGACAUUCUGAGUAGGCUAAAGAACAAUUCCUGUGGUAUGAAAUAGGAUUGAAAGGAUUAAAAUGAGAGACAGGAGACAAAGUGCAGUCUCUGCCAGGAUUUAGAUCAGCUACAUUCACAAAUCAGACUCCAUAAUCAUGCUCCAUUCGAACUGUAAUUUAUUUCAGACAGAGAUAGAGAUCCUCACCAUCUCUUACACCCACAGAGUAGCUGUAUGGCUCCUGCAGGGUGAUCAGGAUUGCUUCAGUUGGAUGCUUCACUUGAGUGCCUUCCAGGCAAUUAAGGAGUCCCACAUGCUGAGCAAGAAGUUGUGGAAGACACACCGAGCAAGAGACUGUGCCUGCAUCCCUCUUCUCUCUAGAAGUCAGAAUCCACAGUCACAGCUCUCCUUCAGACUCUGUACAUUUGGGAUCUUGAGUGUGACAGAUUCCAAAGGGCUGAUCUGGGGUACUCAACCUGCACUGCAUUCUACCCCCUUAAAGCACUUGGGAAGUGUGGGCUUUGUCUUUUCACUCUCGCAGAAAUAAAACUUGCAUCUCUUAAAGCAUUUUGCCAAACCACAACACCAGACCCACUGUAAAAUUGAAGCAUUCUCCCUUCAACCUGAUGAGGAAUAAAAUGUGUGACCCACUGCAGAAGAGGCACUCUAAUUUGAGCAGAGCCGGGAAGAAAUGAGCAGAAGGGAGCUUCACUGCAUAAUCCAACAGUAAAGCAUUAACUAAGGAAAGGAGAAAAGGGAAACCUCACUUCACUGCUUCUAUUCAGCAUUAAAAGCCCUUUUCCUUGUUCAGUGAAUCCCAUUUCCCCAGCCCCUUCUCUGCUUUCCACAUCCAAGAAGAAAACUGAAAAAUUUAAGUCAUCCCACGUUAUUCAGCCACUCUUAAUUCACAAACAUGUUUCUCAGAGGUUAUCAGUAGUCUCCUAGUGGAGGCACCUCAAAAGAGACCUUUAUAUUUCCUAUCCCUGUCCUCAGGCUCCCUCUGAGAGAAAGCUCAGCUGUCCAUGCUCUCUCUCCCAGGGCAUUUGGAGGGACAGGCUGAGGGAUGGUACAUGUGCCAUCAGCCACAGGAUGUCCCUCUCAGGAGAUGCUGCUGCCACACUGACGCCAUAUGCCUUUUUAUUUUGUGACACCUGUUUACACAGCGUGAGGCAGAAAAAAGAUUACUUUCACAGCAGAAUGGGAAAUCAUGGAGCGUUCACUGGCAGACAGUGGGUUCAGGGAAUAUCUUGUGAAAGCAUUGAACAAUUCAUAUUGUCAGAACAUGUACAACUGUGCAAAUACAUGCUGUUUCCAGUCUCCUGUGUAAGAGCUGCAUUCACAAAUCAUUAAGCCAAAGAAAUCAAAUCCUGUAGCUAAAAGUUAUAAGCAAAAAAAAAAAUCAUUCACUUUUUCUGAUUAUUGUUUCUUAACAUCUCUGUGUUGGUUUUGAGCAAGGUGUGUUUUGCUUCCUUGACUAUUCUGCUUAGUAUUUCUAAAUUAAAAUAACUACUCUCUCCUGAGAGCAGAAUAUUUGUAUCUGUGACAGUAUACAACGUUACAAUGGCAUUACAGGCCUUUGGAAAAGUUUGAGAACAGGUUUUUUCCCAUUUUGUGAAUGCUUCAAGUGCUGGGGAGCAUGAACUGGUACAUUAGUUUAAACCAAAGUGGUUGUGAGGUAAAGUGCUGCAUAGCAUGAUCUCAGUCAUGGCCUGAUGCUCCUUUUCUCUUACUCUUCUGAGAUCAUAGUGACACAAGAGCAAGACAGUCAGUUUAAAUCUUGGGGAUUAAGUCUUCAACUGCUGCACUACAUUGACCAGAUCUGUCCAAUCAUGAAUGUCCUCUCCUCACUAUGCUGUGAUUUUCUUUUUUUUUUGGACAGUGAGCAUUUGAACCUGUACUAAUUGUUGCAAUGAGAAUAUACUGCAGGUGUAGUACAUGACAAAACAUAAGUACUCUAAUGCUCAGUACAGAAUAAAUAACUUGACUUAACAAUCUCCAAAAAAUAAAGAAACGUAGCAUUUUCCAGCUCUGAGAAAACUUCAUUGGCAUCUUCAUGCCCUCAAGAAGUGGCACAUGGCGGUAGGUGCGGCGGCACAGGAGCUGCGCGGGGCACGGGCAGGCACAGCCUGGCCACACAGCUCGGUCACACCAUCCGCAGGGACCGUCUGCCUCUGCCGGGCCAAUGCUCCCUGACCCUCAUCUGCUGCGUCAUUUCAUUUAUCUCACAAGAACUGAAAAUUAACCGUAAGCAUUUUAACACCUUAUGUAGAAUUUUCCUUUUUUUAUCCCUUCCUAUGCAUUU